CCGCUGGACAGACGCAGGCUUUUGCUUGCCUCUAUGAAUCGGUGUCUGGUUUAUGGGGAAAUAUUGUCUCGACAUUGACUACAACUACGAUUCAUGAGAUUAGACACAGCGUCCUCAUUGGGAAUGCACUUUACUGUUUGUUCGGUGGAGGUGACAUCCUUGCAUAUGAUAUUAAUGGACAAAUCCUCAGUCACAUUGAGAAGCCAACUGAGGCCUAUCAUACUGGCUUGGGCUUUCAGCUUUGGCGGACAAAUGAUGUUUGUGGCCUUGGCCUCGCUGUUAUGUCAAAACUGGGCAUACAUUUAUGGGAGUGCAAAAUGUACUCUGAAGGUGUUUUCAGAUGGGUGCUGCUGCCGAAAAUCAUUCAACUUGACGAGCUCUUUCCACAGAGUAUCGGUAGCGACCACAAAAAGGUCUACAUGGUGGGCUAUGAUGAAGAGUCAAAUGUUAUUUUUCUGGCUACGUAUAUUGGUGACUUCAUGCUCCAACUUCAGUCUAUGCGGUUUAGAAGAAUUUCCGAAAGAAAUUGCUGGGAUAACAAGAUGUAUUAUCCCUAUAGAAAUUUCUAUACUGCAGUGAAACCAUCUGCUAUGUGAAAUAGUUACGCAGUUGUCAGCCUGACAGCAGAAGACGAAAUGAGCACCAGAAGAACACUUUCAGCGAGGAACAAUCUAAGGAGAUCCGGUGGAGCCUGGAGAUUUGGCAAGGGCAGACGUUCUGAAUCACAUGGGCAGUGGCACUGGCAGUGCUAUCAUACUCGUGUGUCAAUUAGGCAGCAUUUUUUCUCUCCAAGUUUCAGUUUUAUUCAUUUUACACUGUCAUGUGACAAGUCAGACAGGGCAGACUUUCUGAAUCACAUGGGCAGUGGCAGUGGCAGUG